AUUGAACGCUGGCGGCAGGCCUAACACAUGCAAGUCGAGCGGUAGCACAGAGAGCUUGCUCUCGGGUGACGAGCGGCGGACGGGUGAGUAAUGUCUGGGAAACUGCCUGAUGGAGGGGGAUAACUACUGGAAACGGUAGCUAAUACCGCAUAACGUCGCAAGACCAAAGUGGGGGACCUUCGGGCCUCAUGCCAUCAGAUGUGCCCAGAUGGGAUUAGCUAGUAGGUGGGGUAACGGCUCACCUAGGCGACGAUCCCUAGCUGGUCUGAGAGGAUGACCAGCCACACUGGAACUGAGACACGGUCCAGACUCCUACGGGAGGCAGCAGUGGGGAAUAUUGCACAAUGGGCGCAAGCCUGAUGCAGCCAUGCCGCGUGUGUGAAGAAGGCCUUCGGGUUGUAAAGCACUUUCAGCGGGGAGGAAGGCGAUAAGGUUAAUAACCUUGUCGAUUGACGUUACCCGCAGAAGAAGCACCGGCUAACUCCGUGCCAGCAGCCGCGGUAAUACGGAGGGUGCAAGCGUUAAUCGGAAUUACUGGGCGUAAAGCGCACGCAGGCGGUCUGUCAAGUCGGAUGUGAAAUCCCCGGGCUCAACCUGGGAACUGCAUUCGAAACUGGCAGGCUAGAGUCUUGUAGAGGGGGGUAGAAUUCCAGGUGUAGCGGUGAAAUGCGUAGAGAUCUGGAGGAAUACCGGUGGCGAAGGCGGCCCCCUGGACAAAGACUGACGCUCAGGUGCGAAAGCGUGGGGAGCAAACAGGAUUAGAUACCCUGGUAGUCCACGCCGUAAACGAUGUCGAUUUGGAGGUUGUGCCCUUGAGGCGUGGCUUCCGGAGCUAACGCGUUAAAUCGACCGCCUGGGGAGUACGGCCGCAAGGUUAAAACUCAAAUGAAUUGACGGGGGCCCGCACAAGCGGUGGAGCAUGUGGUUUAAUUCGAUGCAACGCGAAGAACCUUACCUGGUCUUGACAUCCACAGAACUUAGCAGAGAUGCUUUGGUGCCUUCGGGAACUGUGAGACAGGUGCUGCAUGGCUGUCGUCAGCUCGUGUUGUGAAAUGUUGGGUUAAGUCCCGCAACGAGCGCAACCCUUAUCCUUUGUUGCCAGCGGUUAGGCCGGGAACUCAAAGGAGACUGCCAGUGAUAAACUGGAGGAAGGUGGGGAUGACGUCAAGUCAUCAUGGCCCUUACGACCAGGGCUACACACGUGCUACAAUGGCAUAUACAAAGAGAAGCGACCUCGCGAGAGCAAGCGGACCUCAUAAAGUAUGUCGUAGUCCGGAUUGGAGUCUGCAACUCGACUCCAUGAAGUCGGAAUCGCUAGUAAUCGUAGAUCAGAAUGCUACGGUGAAUACGUUCCCGGGCCUUGUACACACCGCCCGUCACACCAUGGGAGUGGGUUGCAAAAGAAGUAGGUAGCUUAACCUUCGGGAGGGCGCUUACCACUUUGUGAUUCAUGACUGGGGUGA
rnacentral:rRNA from 1 species